CCUACGGGAGGCAGCAGUAAGGAAUAUUGGUCAAUGGACGAAAGUCUGAACCAGCCAUGCCGCGUGAAGGAUGAAGGCCCUCUGGGUUGUAAACUUCUUUUAUCUGGGACGAAAAAAGCUCAUUCUUGAGCACUUGACGGUACCAGAGGAAUAAGCACCGGCUAACUCCGUGCCAGCAGCCGCGGUAAUACGGAGGGUGCAAGCGUUAUCCGGAUUCACUGGGUUUAAAGGGUGCGUAGGUGGGUCUGUAAGUCAGUGGUGAAAUCUCCGAGCUUAACUCGGAAACUGCCAUUGAUACUAUAGGUCUUGAAUCAUCUGGAGGUAAGCGGAAUAUGUCAUGUAGCGGUGAAAUGCUUAGAUAUGACAUAGAACACCAAUUGCGAAGGCAGCUUACUACGGGUGUAUUGACACUGAGGCACGAAAGCGUGGGGAUCAAACAGGAUUAGAUACCCUGGUAGUCCACGACCUAACGAUAGAUACUCGACAUCAGCGAUACACUGUUGUUGUCGUGAGCGAACGAC
rnacentral:rRNA from 1 species